UUUACCAGUUGUCUGGCAAGGCAAUGCUGGGUAGCUACGCCCUAAUGGAUAAGAGCUGAAAGCAUCUAAGCUCGAAGCCACCCCAAAAACGAGACAUCUCAGGGCACUCGUAAAAGACGAGUUUGAUAGACUGCGGAUGUAAGCACGAAGGUUCGCCGACGUGUUCAGUCCAGCAGUACUAAUCGCCCGAGCAUCUU
rnacentral:rRNA from 1 species